rnacentral:siRNA from 1 species
GAAAAUUUUUCAGUGAGACUAUGC